CAGUAGCCGCGGUAAUACGUAGGUGGCAAGCGUUGUCCGGAAUUAUUGGGCGUAAAGGGCUCGCAAGCGGUUUCUUAAGUCUGAUGUGAAAGCCCCCGGCUCAACCGGGGAGGGUCAUUGGAAACUGGGAAACUUGAGUGCAGAAGAGGAGAGUGGAAUUCCACGUGUAGCGGUGAAAUGCGUAGAGAUGUGGAGGAACACCAGUGGCGAAGGCGACUCUCUGGUCUGUAACUGACGCUGAGGAGCGAAAGCGUGGGGAGCGAACAGGAUUAGAGACCCCGGUAGUCCCUGUCUCUUAUAA
rnacentral:rRNA from 1 species